CCCAGUGACAACACUGGGGUCUGCAGCUGCCAUUUUCCGUUGGGAAAGAGAAAUGGCCCUGUAUUUACCUGAAAAGGUAGCUCAUCCACCAUGGCAGAAGACAAAUAUCCAGAUUAUUGAUUGGGAAGAACAAACAAUGAGACAUAAGGAUUGGUUGUUGAGGGAACACUUGUCCCAUUGUCCAAGUCCAACAGAAGUGCAUCCUUCAGACCAUCCAGUGCAUGGACAUCCUGUGCUAGUGUGAUCCGAGCACGAGCGUCCAGUUUUGGAGAGACUACAGCACAUCGAGCCUGUGGGCUGAAAGAUAGAGGAAGUGUUGGCUGGCUAGCCACAUGGGACCUUUGGCAGCAGCAGACUUCUGCCCAUGGGAUGAAGACAUCCUGGUGUGCAUAUCAGAGGACCGCAUA